rnacentral:lncRNA from 1 species
AUAAUAAUAAUAAUAAUAAUAAUAAUCUACUUGGCUAGCUUUUAUAGCAAAAUAAACAGUGCUCGCUACAUAUAGCGAGUACUGUAGCACUCCUCAGUUGUUGAUGGGUUGCGGCGCGUGAGAGAAGAUUGGACAACGUUGUUCGCGGGAAAAAGAAGGCAGAGGAAGUAUUGUGGUGCUUAGUACACACCAAAUGGGGUGGAGAAGGUAAAGAGGGAGAAGAUGUCUGGGUUUUAGCUUUGAUUCCUUUCUUUGUCUCUUCAAUCUCUCAAAACAACCCUUUUUUCCUCCCUUUCUUCUCCUUUGAUUUCUGGGUUUUAACUAUAACAUCAGCACAAGAGGUAUGGCAUCUUAAAGUUUCUUGCUUUCUUUUGGUUUUUUAGAUCUUUGCUUUUUGCUCCUUUUUUUGGCAUUGUUUUGUGUUCUGCUUUCUCUCAUCAGAAUUGGACUUCGUUGAUUCCAGAGGUUUAAUGGUUUUCUAAAGUUUGAUAAUUUAAGAGGUUUAAAGAAAAAACAAUGAUGGGGUUCUCUGGAAGUCAAGUGGGUUUUAUUUUUUCUGGGUAAAGACAAUUCGAUAAAUCUUAAACUCUGUAACUCUUGUAAUAAAAAGCUUUUUGUUUAUCCCAAUGUUGAUUCCAAUUCCUUGUUCAUCAAUCGAUUGUCUUGGUUGAUGCAUUGUGCAUAUGCAAAAUGUUUGUCGUUGUUUUUGAUUGAUUUCCAUUACUUUGGGCUGAGUUUGUGCUCAUUCUGCCAAUUCCAGCACGAGCUGAUAGCUUUCAAUUUAUGUUUCAUCUGAACAUAUUUCUAAACUCAGCAGUUUUAGGCUCCUGUGUAACAUGUUCCUGACGUCUAAUCCCAUGUUCUUGGUUCAACAGAAUCUGUGAUUAACCAGGUAAUCUUCAGCAGAUCGGAUACUCGAAAGGUUCAGGUUUUAUACCAUUGAUUAUUCUUUCCUUCAGCAAGCAAUUAAAUUACCUCGUCAUCUUAACACCGGGCUGAUGUUAAUUUGAAGAUUGUGUCCUUUUCUCUCAUGCACUGACCAAUGUGAAAAUAAUAAUAAAAUAUUCAUGACUCUAUUUUAAAGAG